UGAAGAAAAAGUGUGGAAUUUCAAGAAAUUAAGCCAAUAAAGACCCGAGGUAGCCUGUGGAUAGCAGAUAUCGUCAGGGAUUAUAGUCGGCUUUACUACUCCAAAAACUGUAGGUUUACUGCCUUUAUGCACUUUUGUUCCUUGUGGGCCCACGAGUCACUGUAAAGUAAAUUUCUUAUUUCGGUUAUCUGUAUUAUAGUACGUAUGAAUUUAUUUAGCUUUUACAUUAUAAAAAUUAUUUA